rnacentral:lncRNA from 1 species
AUGGCGCCCAGCCCUCUGAGCAAUAGUGCAGGUUACCGGCCCGGAAACUGCACAGCUCCAGAGAGCUUCCAGGGCCAAAUCUGCAGUUUGGUUGCUUUCUCCUGCAGUCAAGGUGGGAGUCUUAAAAGCACGGGGAGAAUACGUCUACUCAGCAGGGAGCAAUUUGGGAUGAUGCAAGCAUUCAUAGGAAAUAUGGAGAGGCUUGUUCCUAGAUGUCCCAGGCGAAUCUCCACUUUUACAUCUCGCUUAUGCUGAUCCUUAUGCCUCGAACCUUCUCUUCUCAUCAGAGAGGAUAUCUCUUGUGUUCACCGCUGUUUCUACAGUGCUCAGCAUGGACGCUGGAACAUAGUACGUACUCAGUUAUUAUCCAUUGAGUGAAUGAACAACAAGAAUAACAUUGAACAGGCAGGUUGGUAACAAUUCUUGAACCUUCUUAAAAGCUGAGUUAAAUAGACUGAGUUUUAUUGUUAAGCAAUGGAAAAAAC